AAGGAUUUAAGUUAACCCAAACUAAUAGCCUUCAAAGCUAUAAAUAAAGAAAAUGCUUUAAGCCUUA
rnacentral:tRNA from 1 species